rnacentral:rRNA from 1 species
GACGAACGCUGGCGGCGUGCUUAACACAUGCAAGUCGAACGGAAAGGCCCUGCUUUUGUGGGGUGCUCGAGUGGCGAACGGGUGAGUAACACGUGAGUAACCUGCCCUUGACUUUGGGAUAACUUCAGGAAACUGGGGCUAAUACCGGAUAGGAGCUCCUGCUGCAUGGUGGGGGUUGGAAAGUUUCGGCGGUUGGGGAUGGACUCGCGGCUUAUCAGCUUGUUGGUGGGGUAGUGGCUUACCAAGGCUUUGACGGGUAGCCGGCCUGAGAGGGUGACCGGCCACAUUGGGACUGAGAUACGGCCCAGACUCCUACGGGAGGCAGCAGUGGGGAAUAUUGCACAAUGGGCGGAAGCCUGAUGCAGCAACGCCGCGUGCGGGAUGACGGCCUUCGGGUUGUAAACCGCUUUCGCCUGUGACGAAGCGUGAGUGACGGUAAUGGGUAAAGAAGCACCGGCUAACUACGUGCCAGCAGCCGCGGUGAUACGUAGGGUGCGAGCGUUGUCCGGAUUUAUUGGGCGUAAAGGGCUCGUAGGUGGUUGAUCGCGUCGGAAGUGUAAUCUUGGGGCUUAACCCUGAGCGUGCUUUCGAUACGGGUUGACUUGAGGAAGGUAGGGGAGAAUGGAAUUCCAGGUGGAGCGGUGGAAUGCGCAGAUAUCAGGAGGAACACCAGUGGCGAAGGCGGUUCUCUGGGCCUUUCCUGACGCUGAGGAGCGAAAGCGUGGGGAGCGAACAGGCUUAGAUACCCUGGUAGUCCACGCUGUAAACGGUGGGUACUAGGUGUGGGGUCCAUUCCACGGGUUCCGUGCCGUAGCUAACGCUUUAAGUACCCCGCCUGGGGAGUACGGCCGCAAGGCUAAAACUCAAAGGAAUUGACGGGGCCCCGCACAAGCGGCGGAGCAUGCGGAUUAAUUCGAUGCAACGCGUAGAACCUUACCUGGGUUUGACAUGGAUCGGGAGUGCUCAGAGAUGGGUGUGCCUCUUUUGGGGUCGGUUCACAGGUGGUGCAUGGCUGUCGUCAGCUCGUGUCGUGAGAUGUUGGGUUAAGUCCCGCAACGAGCGCAACCCUUGUUCACUGUUGCCAGCACGUUAUGGUGGGGACUCAGUGGAGACCGCCGGGGUCAACUCGGAGGAAGGUGGGGAUGACGUCAAGUCAUCAUGCCCCUUAUGUCCAGGGCUUCACGCAUGCUACAAUGGCUGGUACAGAGAGUGGCGAGCCUGUGAGGGUGAGCGAAUCUCGGAAAGCCGGUCUCAGUUCGGAUUGGGGUCUGCAACUCGACCUCAUGAAGUCGGAGUCGCUAGUAAUCGCAGAUCAGCAACGCUGCGGUGAAUACGUUCCCGGG